rnacentral:lncRNA from 1 species
UGGGGACAGGUGCACGAACGACAACUCCAAACGUCACACAUCCACCGCCUACUUACCGUUUAGGUGGCACCAGCGAGAUCCAGCUAAGGACAAGGAUUGUUCAUGGAACUACUAUCGAGAUUCUUCGGACCAUCUUUCCUAGUAUCAUCUCGAUGUUCAUUGCUAUACAAUCAUUUGCUCUCUUAUACUCAAUGGACGAGGUAGUAGUAGAUCCAGCCAUUACUAUCAAAGCUAUUGGACAUCAAUGGUAUCAGACUUAUGAGUAUUCUGACUAUAACAGUUCCGAUGAGAAGUCACUCACUUUUGACAGUUAUAUGAUUCUAGAAGAAGAUCUAGAAUUGGGUCAAUCACGUUUAUUAGAAGUGGACAAUAGAGUGGUUGUACCAGCCAAAACUCAUCUACGUAUUAUUGUAACAUCUGCUGAUGUACCUCAUAGUUGGGCUGUACCUUCCUCAGGUGUCAAAUGUGAUGUUGUACCUGGUCGUUUAAAUCAAAUCUCUAUUUUGGUACAACGAGAAGGAGUUUACUAUGGCCAGUGCAGUGAGAUUUGUGGAAAUAAUCAUGCCUUUACGCGUGCGCCCGGAAACAUAGGCCGACUGUUGAGCCACUCUGGCUCAGCCGCACCACCCGGGGUGCAAGCCACCCGAGAAGCAAGCUAUUACAGCGAGCGGCUGGAGCUGUAGGGAGCCGAGGAGCAAGGCAGUAGAUAAGAUAGAAGAAAGGGCCAGGCACCCGGUGGAGCAGAGGGGACAGUUAGGAUAACGAACUUGAAAUGCGAAGCCCGAGCGGCUGGCGAGCGAGUGGUUAGUAGCCAAUAGCGCCCUAGUUGAUGGCAUUCCUCUCUGCGGCUGGCACUCGAGGAACCACAGGGCACUCCAUACAGAGCAAGCAAGUCUUAGGGAUGAGACGCCCGCGCAAGGACCUCAAUUCUCAUUAGGAGGUCGAACCAAGGACCUAUGGAAGUCGGGGCUACCCCGUCCCCAUGGGCAAUAGUGUCUUGAGGGAGGAGUUUAAAGGGCUUAUAUUAGCAUGGACUUAUUGAUCUUUCUAGGUCAUGCGAAGGGGGCCAGUCCAAGAUCGUAUUGUUCCUCUACAAAGAUAAUAGACGCUCUCAACGGCUAGGCGCCACUCUCUUUCUGAGUUAUUCCAACUUCUUCAUGAUUUCGAUUUCGUGCCGCGGUGAACAAACAAAAAAAGAGGGCCGUCUCAGCGGAAGGAGAAGGACCUGCAACGGCAGAGACUACUGACUCUCUUCUUGUUCUUAGCCGUCUAUUACGAGUCCGGGAAGCCUGAAAUCAUAAAUAUGAGGGAUCCAGAAGGGUGGGCAGGGCUUCCGCAAGGUUUUUUUAUCCCCUCUUCCCGGGAUGAGAAAGGAGUCCUAUCAAGUAAAGGCCAUAACCAGCCUCUUUUUUUAUGUACACCUUUCUUUGUUUCAGGCUCUUCAAGACCUUCCUCCUGCUAAUCCGGCCAUUACCAAACCUGUCUUUCCCACCCUUCUCAAUUCUUGCGAUUCCUAGCCAGCCCCCUUAGCUUAUUUUGCUUUAUAAAACCACUUUCCCCUUUUUUCAGCUUGCUGCUCGCUUUCUCGCUUCUGAGAGGUACUGACGUGACUCGACUGAAAGGAGAGGCGAAAGGAGCUAUGUGAUUGAAAUUCGAGUUUAUAGGGGUGAAUGAGUGCAUUUUUACCAAAAAUAUAAAACUAAUUUAAAUAAAUCAAAUAAAUUAUUAUUUUGAAAGUCAACCAAUUUACAUACAUCAUAUUGUAUGUGAUGUAGAUGAUGAAGGUAUUUUCGUCUUUACUAAAUAUUUUCAAAGACAAUUCAAAAUUAUGAUAAUCCAUCCUUUGACAUAAUUUUUUUAUUUUCUUUGGUAUGGAGUGUAAUUUCUCAGACACCUCUAAAUCAUCUAGAGACUCUGCUCUUUGUAGCUAAAGUCUCCCAUAUCAUAAACCCUAAAUCUAAGUCGCCAAAACUGGUGAUCGAUUCUUCUCCAGCAAUUUGAUUCACCUUCUAGUUCGUAACGAGAAUCAUUGUUGCUUCCUUCACAUUUGGUGGUUUACUGAGAAGGGUUUAUAACUCAGAGAAGCUGUUGAUAUUAGCACAGAGGGAAGUUUUCAGAGGAAAACGGGAAAAAUGUUAGUGAAAUCGUCGUUUGUGUCAGUGAUUGCUCUCUCUAUUCGUUGGCUUUGAUGAUUGAAUGAUUUUACCUGGACUGUGUUUCACUGAUUUGGUCUGAGGUAACUGAAAUCGUUAAUGCACACAACCUGUUCGACUUGUGCUUAAUAUACAUGGGGGAAAAUAAGACUUGUGCUUUCUUAUAAUCUUUUGAAGAGCAACCCGUCCAAAGAGCUACAUUUCUAGAACCAAGGGCUGGGAAGACUUCCCACAAGGCUUUGAGCAACAUUUGGUUUAUGUAACUUAAAGUGUUGUGUCUUUGAAAGUUUAUGCAUUGAUGUCUUUGUGCAUGUCUUUAUGUUUUUGUUUAUUGAUGUCUUUAUGUUCAAGUGUUUUUGUGUAUUGAUGUCUUUAUGUUCAUGUUUAUGUCUUUGUUUAACUCUUUCUUUAUGUCUUUAUGUAUGUGAAUCUCCUCCUCUAAACAUGUUUAUGUUCAUGUUUAUGACUUUUGUUUCCCAAGGUACAAAGCAAAUGCUGUUUCUUCUUGCUUUUUCCUUUGUUUGGAAACGAAGUAACAUAUCCGUUUCACGUAUUCAUGUAGGGAGGAUGGGAUAAUGAUGACUCAGUCAGGGAGGCUGCAGUGAGUGGAAGGCAUCUUCAACACGCUGAGAAAACAGGACAAGAAGAGGACAAGUCAUUGGCAAGUUGAAGCUAAUGGAGACCACAUAUUUCUACUUUGCUUGUACACCACAUUAGUUUUGUGUCAAUAAUUCGACACUCGCUUUGGGAUUUCUAUAUAUUUCACUCUUGUUCUCACAAACUAAUGCAACAAUCGUUUACAAUUCAACUCUUCUUCUUUAUACCCCAAGUGAUUUACCAAAGACUUUUGUUCUUCAUACUACAAAACAAUCUUUUCUACUUUUCUAAAUUCUUGUUCUUUUUACCACAAAACAAUCUUUUCUAAACUCUUGUUCUUUAUCAAAAUCUCGUCGAUAUGAUGGUCCACUAGAAAUCGACUUCGUGAUCGAGCUAUGCAUCAACAAUUGAAUAAGGAUUUGGUCGAACAUAUAUGGACAAAAUAUUUCAGAAAUUAAGUUUAAAACAUUUGUGCUUUAUGUUAUUUAUGUUAUAAAAAUUGUAUCUCAUGUUUUAAUUUUUUUAAUUUGCAACAAUUAUUAAAUUUUCUAUAAUUAUAAAUUUUUUUUUAUAUUAAUAUUUAUUUUUCUAAGAACCACAUGUUAAGAGCUUACCAUUAAUCACACAAAAAUCUUAACUCAAAAAUACUAUCUCUUAACAAUCACUUUUACAAAUAAAUUACUUCAAUAUUGCUAAGAUUAAUUUCUAAGAGACCACCUAUAAUCAUGCUCUUACACAUCGAAUCCAAUUCAAUAUCGUCACUUCAAUUUUACGAUGAGACAAUGUUUACUUCAAAGACAAUAAGAUUUCAAGUGAAAAGACGAAGACAAGUUUAAUAUAAAAACCUUUUUUUAUUGAUGACGAUGAAACUCCAAACUUUAUGAGAUUGAAAUUCGAGUUUAUAGGGGUGAAUGAUUGCAUUUUUACCAAAAAUAUAAAACCAAUUUAAAGAAAUCAAAUAAAUUAUUAUUUUGAAAGUCAACCAAUUUACAUACAUCAUAUUGUAUGUGAUGUAGAUGAUGAAGGUAUUUUCGUCUUUACUAAAUAUUUUCAAAGACAAUUCAAAAUUAUGAUAAUCCUGUUGUGAAACUUAUUGUUCUCUCUCAUUCCAUUCCAUGAAUAAUGAUACAUAUAUGUAGGCAUAUAAACCUAGGGUUUUAGGGUACAUAAUGAAUAACCCUGAUGGGCUUAUUGGACCCGGUUAUAAGUCCAAUAUGAUGUAUUAUAACACUCCCCCUUGGACGGAGUAACCGGACCUGAUGGUCAAUCGGGAUCUCGAUAAUACGCUGGGGAAUGUUGCCUCAUUAAAACCUUACCAGGAAAACCCAGUGGGAAAAACCAUGGUGAAGGAAAAAGAGUACAACACGCAUUACUCCCCCUGAUUAGAGCAUCACCGUAGAUCUCUAAGUCUACGCAUUCCUAUUUGUUGGAUGAGCUUCCGGAGUGUUGAAGCGGGCAAUGAUUUGGUAAAAAGGUCGGCGGAGUUAUCGCAUGAUCGGACCUGUUGAACGCUGAUCGUACCAUCCUUCUGCCAAUCCGAGGUUGAGAAGAAUUUCGGUAGGAUGUGCUUCGUCCGAUCUCCUUUGAUAUAACCUUCCUUGAGUUGAGCAAUGCAAGCCGCGUUGUCUUCAAACAUAACCGUGGGCUCCUUAUCUUCUUUCAUACCACAAUCUGAUCGGAUGUGCUGAGUCAUGGAUCGUAGCCAAACACAUUCUCUGCUGGCUUCGUGAAUGGCCAAAAGUUCUGCAUGGUUUGAUGAAGUGGUAGUGAUUGUCUGCUUUAUCGAUCUCCAAGAGAUAGCUGUUCCUCCAUGCGUGAACACAUAACCAGUUUGAGACUUGGCAUUGUGCGGAUCUGAUUGAUAUCCUGCAUCAGCAAAACCAACUAGUCCAUCCUUGUUGUGGUUAGUGUAAAACAGUCCUAAGUCUUUAGUACCUUGAAGGUAUCUUAGGAGGUGUUUGAUACCAUUCCAGUGCCUCUGAGUUGGACAUGAGCUGAAGCGAGCUAGGAGGUUCACGGCAAAACAAAUGUCUGGUCUAGUGUGACUAGCCAAGUACAUUAACGCUCCUACAGCACUGAGGUAUGGCUUUUCUGGACCGAGAAUUUCUUCAUCGUCCUUCUUGGGACCAAAUGGAUCACUGUCCAAUCCUAGGCUCCGGACAACCAUUGGGCUGUUCAAUGGGUGGGCCUGGUCCAUAUUGAAUCGCUUGAGUACUUUUUCAAUGUAAGCCGCUUGAUGCACAAGGAUUCCUCCUUUAACGUACUCAAGUUGUAAACCCAAACAGAAUUUAGUUUUACCUAGGUCUUUCAUUUCGAAUUCUGCUUUCAAGCAGUCGAUUGUUUGGGAGAUUUCACCAGAUGUUCCGAGGAUGUUUAGAUCAUCCACGUAAACUGCUAUGAUUACAAAUCCUUUGUUUGAGUAUUUCUUGAUGAAAAUGCAUGGACUGAUGGGAUCGUUUUUGUAGCCUUCUCUGAUGAGAUAUUCGCUUAACCGGUUAUACCACAUACGUCCACUUUGUUUCAGUCCAUACAAGGAUUUGUUCAGCCUGAUGCAGUAUUGAUCUCGAGAUGCAUGCUUAUCUUUAAGCUCUAUGCCAUCUGGUAAUCUCAUGUAUAUUUCAUUGUCGAGGGGCCCAUAGAGAUAUGCGGUGACAACAUCCAUUAACCGCAAAUCUAGAUUUUCUCUUAUGGCCAGACUUAUGAGGAAUCGAAAAGUAGUUGCAUCCACCACCGGAGAAUAAGUCUCCUCAUAAUCGAUUCCGGGUCUCUGUGAGAAUCCUUGUGCUACAAGCCGUGCUUUAUAACGAACGACUUCACCGAGUUCGUUUCUUUUACGCACAAAGACCCAUUUAUGGCCCACUGGUUUGACAUUGAAUGGUGUCCGGAUGAUCGGACCAAACACAUUCCUGAGUUUGAGACUCUUUAACUCCACGUUUAUGGCUUCUUUCCAUUUUAGCCAGUCUGUUCUAUGAGUGCACUCUGUGAUAGACGUGGGUUCUAGAUCCUCUUGCGUGUUCGCAAUAUCAAGUGCUACUUUGUAUGCAAAGAGUGCAUUUAAGUCGACUUCUUUUCUGUUCCAUUGGGUUCCAGACAUGUUGUAAUUGAUAGAGAUCUCAUCGUUAUCGAUCUCGUCAGAACCUAGAGAUUCGGCGUCCCGAACCUCUUCUGGUGGUUCAUUAGAGUGAGUCUCAGCGCGCGCUAUGUCUGUUAUAUUGGGAAUCCCGGUUUCAACUAUUGCACCUUUCUUUGAUUUCCGUGGAUUCUUGUCUUUGGAACCUAGAGGUCUGCCACGUUUAUUUCGUGAUGCAGACUCUGUAGCAACUUGAACUUGUCCCGUUGGAACAGUGAUUCGUACUGGUGCAUUACAAGCUGGUAUGUACGAUUUGGUUACUUUGUUCGGGUCAGCAAAGGAAUCUGGCAAUUGAUUAGCUAGCUUUUGAUAGUGUAUAAUCUUUUGGAUCUCCGAAUCACAUUCUAGAGUCCGAGGAUCUUGCCAAUUUAAGGAUGUUUGAUUCCAUGAUAGCUCUUUGACCAGCUUAUGUUUCUCUCCACCCAAUGUUGGAUAUACCGAUUCAUCAAAUUGGCAAUCCGCAUAUCUGGCCUUAACUAGGUCUCCAGUGGUCGGCUCGAGAUAUUUGAUGAUGGUGGGAGAAUCAAAACCAACAUAUAUUCCCAUCCUCCUUUGAGGUCCCAUUUUGGUUCUAUGUGGUGGAGCAAUGGGUACAUAGACUGAGCACCCAAAUGUUUUGAGAUGGGAGAUGUCUGGCUCAUGACCCUGUAAUAAUUGGGAUGGGGAAUAUCUAUGCUCACUAGAUGGUCGGAUGCGUAUUAAUUCAGCAGCAUGUAAUACUGCAUGUCCCCAAGCUGAGACCGGGAGCUUCGACCUCAUGAGUAAUGGUCGAGCAAUCCAUUGGAUUCGUUUAAUGAAUGAUUCAGCAAGUCCAUUCUGAGUAUGGACAUGUGCCACAGGAUGUUCAACGGUCACCCCCAUGGCCAUACAGUAAUCAUUAAACGCUUGGGAAGUGAAUUCACCAGCAUUAUCAAGACGUAUAGUCUUUAGUGGGAAGUCUGGAAAGUGGGCUCGUAAUCUGAUGAUUUGAGCCAAAAACCUAGCAAAAGCUUGGUUCCGAGAAGACAAUAGGCAUACAUACAACCAACGGGUCGAAGCAUCUAUUAGUACCAUGAAGUACCGGAAUGUCCCAGAAGGUGGGUGAAUGGGACCACAGAUAUCUCCUUGGAUUCUUUCCAGAAAAUGCAAUGUCUCUUUGGACACUUUUACUGGUGAAGGCCGAGUGAUCAACUUCCCUUGGGAGCAAGCUGUGCACAUGAGGUGCUGAGGGAAGACUCGGUUUUCUCGAAGGGUGUGUCCUUGAGAACUUUGGAUUAAUUUACGCAUCAUGGUUGUACCGGGAUGACCAAGCCGGUCGUGCCAAAUAGUGUAGUCUUGGAACCGGGCUUUGAGAGCAUUAUUAGCCUCAAUCAUACUGACCUUGGCAUAGUAAAGGCCAGUAGAUAAAGCGGGUAUAGUCUCGAGGACUUGUUUAUGGCCAAGUGUGAUCUUAGUGAUCAGUAGGGAUUCUUUAUUCCCUUCACCCUGGGUUUCUAUGUGGAAACCAUUAAGUCUGAUAUCUUUAAAACUUAAAAGGUUUCUUUUUGAGUUGGGUGAGUAUAAUGCAUCUGGAAUGUCCAGAUGUGUGCCGUUUGAUAACAACACAUGUUCAGAUGAUAGAAUCAAUCGAGGAGAUCUGAGAUCUCGUAGUCCAUGGGAUCGGUCGGCUCGAUGGUGGUGUCGUUAGCAUCAACUUGCAGGGCCAUGUUAGCUUCAGCAGGUGCUUUCCCAUGUUUCUGAUAAAAAUCGCAAUGAAACUUGGGAAUACGACAGUUCUUUGUCCAGUGAUUGAACAUUCCGCAACUGGUGCAGGCAGACUGAUUGGUUGGGUGGGCAGGGCGGUUUGGUUUAGAGAUACCACGGCCCUUACCGGAACCAUAACCGAGGUUAUGUCGGUUGCCACGUCCAUUUCCGCGUCCACGCUUUCCACGUCCAUUCCCAUGUCCACGGCCACGAUUCUUUGCGGGAAUAUGGUACUGGAGCCGAUCCCGGGGGCCUCUGGGCACUGUUCCUCAUUAACAGCUCGUUGUUUUUCUCAGCCAAGAGCAAACAAGAUAACAAAUCUUCGUACAAUGUAUGUUUCAUUGCACGAUAUUGCUGCUGAAGCACAAUGUUUUGGGUAUGGAAGGUGGAUAAUGUUUUCUCGAGGAGAUCAUUAUCAGACACCUCUUCACCACAUAGUUUCAUGAUUGAAACUAUCCGAAAGAGUUCGGAGUUGUAGUCAUCCACAGAUUUGUAAUCUUGGAACCGGAGUUCCUUCCAGUCAAACUUGGCUUGUGGCAAGAGCACCGUUUUCUGGUGAUCAUACCGUUUUUUCAGGGCCACCCAAAGUUCGAGUGGGUUCUCAAGAGUGAGAUAUUGUUGUUUGAGGCUCGCGGCCAAAUGAUGGCGGAUAUGAAAUAUCGCCUGGGACCGGUCUUUAUCAGAGGCUUUGUUAUCCGCUUGGAUACACGCACCCAGUCCCUUUGAGUUGAGGAAAAUCCUGGUGUCCAGGGCCCAUUCGAGAUAGUUUUCACCGGAGACCUUGAGGGCCUCGAACAUGAAAUUGAUUUCAUUAGGGGUUUGUUAAAAUAAUAGUUGGAAAACUUUCUAUUUUAGGCAAGUUUCUAUUUGAGCAAACUUUAUAUUUGAGGAAUGUUUCUAAAUUGGGGAACUUUCUAAAUGAGGAAAAUUUCUAUUUUGAGGAAACUUUCUAUUUUAGGCAAGUUUCUAUUUGAGGAAACUUUAUAUUUGAGGAAAGUUUCUAAUUUGGGAAACUUUCUAAAUGAGGAAAGUUUUCUUUUCGGGUCAUUUGUUAUUUGAGGAAAGUUUCUAUUUUAGGAAACCUUCUAAAUGAGGAAAGUUUCUAUUUGAGGGAAACUUUCUAAAUGAGGAAAGUUUCUAUUUGAGGAAAACUUUCUAAAUGAGGAAAGUUUCUAUUCCGGGUCAUUUGCUAUUUGAGGAAAGUUUCUAUUUUAGGAAACCUUCUAAAUGAGGAAAGUUUCUAUUUGAGGGAAACUUUCUAAAUGAGGAAAGUUUCUAUUUGAGGAAACCUUCUAAAUGAGGAAAGUUUCUAAUUUGGGAAACUUUCUAAAUGAGGAAAGUUUUCAUUCCGGGUCAUUUGCUAUUUGAGGAAAGUUUCUAUUUUAGGAAACCUUCUAAAUGAGGAAAGUUUCUAUUUGAGGAAACCUCCUAAAUGAUGAAAGUUACUAAUUUGGGAAACUUUCUAAAUGAGGAAAGUUUUCUUUCCGGGUCAUUUGUUAUUUGAGGAAGGUUUCUAUUUUAGGAAACUUUCUCGGGAAUCGUAAAUUUUAAAGGAUACGGAACAUAAGUUCGGUUUAAUGGUUUAAAGUUGGACCGGAAUAUUAGAUUCCGGUUUGGGCCGAAUUGAUUUCCGGUUUAGAAUAACCAGUUUGAACCGGUUUACCCAGAUUGAGAUCCGGUUAUUAUUUUCGGGACCGGUUUGAUAAUCGGUUUAACCGAUGAACCGAAUUGAUAUUCGGGUUUAGGGGUUAACUAAGAAUGAUUUCCGGUUUAGGGGAUACACAAAUUAGGGUUUUCGUUUCUUUUUGAGGAAAACGAUUUGAAUUUUGCGGUUUUCAAACGCAAAAUCGUUAGGGUUUCGGAUUUGAUUUGAUUUAGGUUUUAAGGUUUCAGCCAUGGCUAAGUAAUCAUAAGUUUAUGAUUAUCAGCAGCUAAUUUGAGUGUUAGGUUUAAGCAAUACAAGGUUUUUUUUUUUUUUUUUGAUCUUUAAGCUUUUAAGGUUUUGUUUUUACCUUUCACCAAUUGGGGUUGAACGGAUUGAACCGGGAACUUAAUACCUCGGUAACUCACGCUGUCGAUGAACAGUACCGAUGAACAGUAUCGGCGUGAACAGUAUCGGCGAACAGUGUCGAUGAACAGUAUCGAUGAACAGUGUCGAUGAACAGUGUCGGCGUGAACAGUGUUUUGCGAUUUUUAGGGUUAGGGUUGUUAAGAGCAAAAUCGUGCUGAUAACGUGUUGUAAAACUUAUUGUUCUCUCUCAUUCCAUUCCAUGAAUAAUGAUACAUAUAUGUAGGCAUAUAAACCUAGGGUUUUAGGGUACAUAAUGAAUAACCCUGAUGGGCUUAUUGGGCCCGGUUAUAAGUCCAAUAUGAUGUAUUAUAACAAAUCCAUCCUUUGACAUAAUUUUUUUAUUUUCUUUGGUAUGGAGUGUAAUUUCUCAGACACCUCUAAAUCAUCUAGAGACUCUGCUCUUUGUAGCUAAAGUCUCCCAUAUCAUAAACCCUAAAUCUAAGUCGCCAAAACUGGUGAUCGAUUCUUCUCCAGCAAUUUGAUUCACCUUCUAGUUCGUAACGAGAAUCAUUGUUGAUUCCUUCACAUUUGGUGGUUUACUGAGAAGGGUCUAUAACUCAGAGAAGCUGUUGAUAUUAGCACAGAGGGAAGUUUUCAGAGGAAAACGGGGAAAAUGUUAGUGAAAUCGUCGUUUGUGUCAGUGAUUGCUCUCUCUAUUCGUUGGCUUUGAUGAUCGAAUGAUUUUACCUGGUCUGUGUUUCACUGAUUUGGUCUGAGGUAACUGAAAUCGUUAAUGCACACAACCUGUUCGACGUAAUGCGUAGCUGAGAUUCUCUAGCAAAAGGUUUAUUCUUUACUAUUGUUUAGUAAUGGGUAGCAAAAUGAUGAUGUUCAAGUGGUCUAAGAAUAUCACGCCUUCACAAGUUAUCAAACUGAUGCGAGCUGAAAAAGACGUGGAGAAGUCAAUUGCGGUUUUUGAUUCCGCAACGGCAGAAUACGCAAAUGGGUACUUACAUGAUCAGAGUUCUUUUGGUUAUAUGGUGUCGAGGUUGGUCUCUGCUAAUAAGUUCAAAGCAGCUGAAGAUAUUGUUGCAAGAAUGAAGAUUGAGAAUUGUGUUGUUAGUGAAGAUAUUUUGCUUUCUAUAUGUAGAGGGUAUGGUCGGGUUCAUAGGCCGUUUGAUUCUUUAAGGGUUUUUCACAAGAUGAAGGAUUUUGAUUGUGAUCCUAGCCAGAAGGCUUAUGUCACUGUUCUUGCUAUUCUCGUGGAAGAGAAUCAGUUAAAUUUGGCCUUUAAGUUUUACAAGAAUAUGAGAGAGAUUGGUUUGCCUCCUACCGUGGCAUCUCUCAAUGUUUUGAUCAAAGCUCUUUGCAGAAAUGACGGGACAGUGGAUGCUGGUCUUAAGAUUUUUCAUGAAAUGCCUAAACGAGGGUGUGAUCCGGAUUCUUACACAUAUGGAACCUUGAUUAGUGGUUUGUGUCGGUUCGGAAGGAUAGAUGAGGCGAAGAAGUUGUUUACGGAGAUGGUUGAAAAGGACUGUGCACCAACUGUUGUUACAUAUACUUCUCUGAUUAACGGUUUGUGUGGAUCGAAAAAUGUUGAUGAAGCAAUGAGAUAUGUUGAAGAGAUGAAAGGUAAAGGCAUCGAGCCGAAUGUUUUCACGUACAGUUCUUUGAUGGACGGUCUUUGCAAAGAUGGUCGUUCUUUGCAAGCCAUGGAGUUAUUUGAGAUGAUGAUGGCUAGAGGCUGCAGGCCAAACAUGGUAACGUAUACCACUUUGAUCACUGGUCUCUGUAAGGAGCAGAAGAUUCAAGAAGCCGUUGAACUUCUCGAUAGAAUGAAUCUUCAGGGUUUAAAACCUGAUGCUGGAUUAUAUGGGAAAGUAAUCAGUGGGUUUUGUGCUGUCAGUAAGUUUCGCGAAGCUGCCAAUUUCCUCGACGAGAUGAUUCUAGGAGGAAUUACUCCAAAUCGUUUAACUUGGAACAUCCAUGUUAAGACAAGUAAUGAAGUAGUCCGAGGUCUUUGUACAAACUAUCCAAGUCGUGCAUUUACUCUAUAUCUAAGCAUGAGGAGUAGAGGCAUCUCGGUUGAGGUUGAAACACUAGACUCUUUGGUGAAGUGUUUGUGCAAAAAGGGUGAAUUCCAGAAAGCUGUUCAAUUAGUUGACGAGAUAGUGACUGACGGAUGUAUUCCAAAUAAAGGAACAUGGAAGCUACUUAUAGGUCACACGUUGGAUAACACAAUUGUAGGAGAAGCUUCAGAUUCUCUUCUCAGAGAUUUGGAUAUCUAAGUUAGUGCAAGGAAGAUUAGAAUAAGACAGCUGAAGCAAACAUAUCGCGUGGAACAACAUACACAAACAUUGAGAUAUUCUAUUCAAAAGACCAUCUCAGAAGAAUGGUAAAGCACAAGAUACAACAGAGAAUUUCAGAGAUUCCAAAGGGGUUAAGAAGAUUUUUACAUUUUGAUUCAGAACAUCAUUUAGCAGAGAGGGGAAAACCAAUACCGUGGCGUGUAGUAGGAAACGUAGCGAACACCAUACUGCAGAAGACUCCUACGGCUACGGGCAAAGUUGUGAGAAGGUCUGCUACUUCAGCUGAUGGUUCAGGAAAGAAACAUUUAACCGCAUUCUGAUCAAACAAAACCACGGCUCCAAAAACCAGAAAUGACAUAAUGGCAUGUACGAAGUCUAUAAACCGUACUUUGUAGCUUUUGGAACGUUCUUGAGGAAGAGUAGCUGAGCCAUCAAUUAUCCAAAAACCAUGGAUUGUUGCAAAUCCAUAGCAGACAUUUCCAUUCAAGUCCUUGUAAGAAUCUGUGAAGCUAAGUAUGAAACAAGAGAACCCACAGAUGGAAACUAGCAAUGCAGUCAUGACUCUGCUAGCUAGAUCGCAUUGCCCAGCAUUUGUGCAAAUUGGCGAUAAGAUCUGGAACGCAAGAACUGUCCCCGUUGGUAAAAGAUUAGCUAGAUUAGCUGUGGUCUGAAAAGUCUUACCUAUUGCCUUUUGCAUCAUAGUGUUCCUUUCUAUGUCAGGAAAGUCCCGAUUUCGAUUUCGAUCAUCCAGGAGUGGAACAGUUUCUUCUUUGAUCCGGCGAGCGCCGAUGGUCCCAGCUUCUUCAUCAACCUUAAUCUCCAUAACACUCAAGAUUCAAAUCUCUUUUUCCAUGUGCUUUGUUGUUUUGACCAAAUGCUUGUGUUUUAAUGUAACUUUGGCUGCUUACUUUGUUAUGUAUUGCAAGCAAGUCUGAAACCAAACCUAAGUCAUUUGUUUAUGUGAAGGAUAAGCUUUUGACCUUGUCUACUAAAGGAUUGUUUUUAAAUAUUUUGAUUCCAUGAUUGGAAUUAUUCAAUGGUUUGGGAAAUGUGAUUCUGAUUUUGAAUUCCCAUGAACAUUUUUUAUUGAAAGUGAGAAUGAUGUUUAUGUUUUAAUCUAAAUCAAAAUGUCUUUAAAGCCUUUGGAUAAAUGUUAGUAGUUCCUGCGUGGAGGCCAAGUAAGAUUAUAAACUAUAUACGUAGUCAUUUGCUAAAACAUAGUAAUAUAUUACACGUUGACAAAGCACUUGUUUGUAAUUAAAUGAUUAGUUCUAUUAUUAAAUGUUAACUAACGUCAAAAUCAGUUUAGGUGUACGCAUUCUUGGGUGAGUCAUGCGAUUAGACUUGCACGUUACAUUUUUUCAUUAUGAAUGUCAAAAGAGACAUGACUGGAUAAAAUGGAAAGAUGCAAUACAAGUCGAACUUGAUUCGCUCAAUAAGCGAAAUGUAUUCGGACCUAUUGUACUCACACCUGAAGAUGUGAGACCGGUUGGAUACAAAUGGGUUUUCGUUAGAAAACGAAAUGAGGAAAAUGAAAUUACGAGAUACAAGGCUCGUCUCGUAGCUCAAGGAUUUUCUCAAAGACCCGGGAUUGAUUAUGAGGAAACAUAUUCCCCCGUUAUGGAUGCUAUAACAUUUAGAUUUCUGAUGAGUCUAGCAGCUGGCAAAAAUCUAGAGAUGCGUCUCAUGGAUGUCGUUACAACAUAUUUAUAUGGAUCAUUGGAUACAGAUAUCUAUAUGAGAGUUCCCGAUGGGUUUAAUAUGCCAAAAGCAUUAAAAUCUAAACCCAAAGAGUUGUGUGCAAUAAAGUUGCAGAGAGCAUUAUAUGGGUUAAAGCAAUCUGGACGAAUGUGGUAUAAUCGUCUCAGUGAGCAUUUAACGAAAGAAGGAUAUGUGAAUGAUCCUAUAUGCCCAUGUGUUUUCAUAAAGAAAACAAAUUCCGGAUUUGUGAUAAUCGCGGUAUAUGUUGAUGAUCUAAAUAUAAUCGGGACUCAAGCAGAAAUACAGAAAGCAACAAACUAUUUAAAAGGGGAAUUUGAGAUGAAAGAUCUCGGACAAACAAAAUUUUGUCUUGGCCUACAAAUUGAACAUACUCAAAAAGGUAUAUUUGUUCAUCAAUCCACAUACACCAAAAGAGUGUUAAAACGUUUAAAUAUGGAUAAGGCAACUCCUCUCAGUACUCCAAUGGUCGUUAGAUCACUUAAUGUUGAGAGUGAUCCAUUCAGACCACCUGAGGAGAAUGAAGAGAUACUCGGUCCUGAAGUACCGUAUCUAAGUGCAAUUGGAGCCCUUAUGUAUCUUGCAAAUUGCACUCGACCUGAUAUAUCUUUUUCAGUCAAUCUUUUGGCUAGAUUUAGUUCAUCCCCUACACGAAGACAUUGGAAUGGGGUUAAACAUGUCUUUCGUUAUCUUCAAGGGACUAUUGAUUUAGGGUUAUUUUAUCCUAAAAAUAUAAAUGGUCAAAUGAUUGGUUUUGCAGAUGCAGGCUAUUUAUCAGACCCACACAAAGCUCGAUCACAAACAGGAUACGUGUUCACGAUUGGUGGUACUGCUAUAUCAUGGCGUUCUCAGAAGCAGACGCUUGUAGCUACUUCUUCAAAUCAUGCUGAAAUCAUCGCACUCCAUGAAGCGAGUAGAGAAUGGGUAUGGCUACGAUCGAUAAGUCAACACAUUCAAACAAGUAGUGGAAUUCGUCUAAAAACGGAGCCAACUAUCUUGUAUGAAGACAAUGCUGCAUGUGUUGCUCAGACAAAGGAAGGAUUUAUCAAAAGCGAUAGAACCAAACAUAUCCCUCCGAAGUUCUUUUCAUACACCCAAGAGCUCGUGAAGAAUAAAGACAUUGAAGUAAGAUAUAUCCAAUCAUCCAAGAAUUCUGCGGAUCUCUUCACAAAAUCAUUGCCCACCUCUAUGUUCAGAAAACAUGUUCAUAACAUUGGAAUGAUUCGUCAACAAGACUUGUAAGUUAUGAUCUUGAUCAUUCGAGGGGGAGCUUGCGCGGUUGCACUCUUUUUACCUACUAUGGUUUUUCCCACCGGGUUUUCCUAGAAAGGUUUUUAACGAGGCAACAUGAAGCACAUCGCAAAGACAUGAAUGACAAAUGAACUCCAAGGGGGAGUGUUACAAAAAUCAAACUCUUGAAUAUUGAAUGGAGCUCAUAAGUCAUUCAAUCACUACCAUAAAGUAAUGGAAUAGUUUGGUGUAGUGGAAUGGUUUGGAGUAGUAGAAUAGUUUGGAGUAGUGGAAUAGUUUGGUGAAAUUAUUUGGUACUAUAAAUAUGCUCUUCCACUCCAUUGUAAGAGACACCAUUGAUUCACUUAACAAAGAAAUGUAUAGUUUCUUCCCACAUUAUUACUCUUUCUCCCUUAUAUUUCUAUCUCUUUAAAUAAUUUUAUUAUUAUACCAUUUUCAACAUAAAUGAUCGAUAGAAAAUUUACGAUACAUUAUUUUUCUUAAUUAUAACAAUUUCAAAAUUUUAACGAUAAUUAACGAAGUGUCGCUGACAAAGAAACGAAAGGUCUUGGAAAAGAUUUGGGAUUGUGUUUCCCAAGGAUAUGUUUUGGAGCAUUUUGAUAUGCGAACUAAAAAGCCCAUACAAAGAAUCCUUAACAAGAAGCCCAACGAUUUUGAAUGAUUUGGAUUCUAUAGGUUUUAAAUGAGUUAGUUUUAGACUCUCUUUAAAUGAUUUCUUUGAUCUUGCAAGAAAACUACUUUUUAAAAAACAUGUUUCAACUCCAUUGUGAAUCCAACUUUUUUUUAGAUGAGUCUGGAUUCGACCCAAAUAUUUUUGGUUCAGAUUAUCUGAUUUGUAUAAGUUCAUGUUAAUUACAUUAUAUGGAUCAUUUGGUUAUAGAAUGGGAUAUAGACUCGAAUAGCCAUUUGAUUAACUGAAAAAACAAAAUACUCAAUUUUUUCUAAAAGAACUUAACCAGUAUCCAACAUUUAUCUGAUUUAGUGAGAGUCUAAACAGUAAUUUUAGGUACAUAUGAACUAUAUCGUACUUUGUUGGAUAUGUUUUAUACACAUGAAUUACCACUACUAUAAUGUUAAUUACUUGCUAUUCUCAGUCAUGAUACCCAAAAUACACAGUCCUAAUAAAAAAAAAUAUUACAAACUCAGUUUUUCCACAAUAUCUGUUUUAUGUGAUCAACAAUAUGUGUUAUGCGGAUUUGGAUUUGCAUAACAGUUAGUUAGGCAACAAAGUUUUGGUGGUUCUUUUACAAUAUUUUUACUAUCAUCUUUUAAAGGUUUAUAUAUAGGGUGAAUGAAAUAUAUAUACCUGGAAGAAGA